rnacentral:rRNA from 1 species
CCAAUAGCGUAUAUUAAAGUUGUUGCAGUUAAAAAGCUCGUAGUUGAAUUUCGGGAUCAAUUUACUGGUCGUGCAAUAGUACGUACUGGUUUUAUUGGUUCCUCCCUUCUGACGAACCUUGAUGCCAUUAAUUUGGUGUCUUGGGAAAUCAGGACUGUUACUUUGAAAAAAUUAGAGUGUUUAAAGCAAGCUCACGCUUGAAUACAUUAGCAUGGAAUAA